AGUAACUAAAUAAACCGGAGAUGUGAGCACGGUGGACAGCCAACCCGGAAGCAAUCCAUCAUACAACUGAGUAUGAGAAACAGCAUGGAAUUGCUGGCAACUACAGUGCAAGGACCGGCUGGUUCUCAGAGAAGAAAUCAGCCGCCCUAUAGAAAGAUCGCUCACCAGCCUGUUGCCAUCAGUAAGGAUCUGCUGUCUAUUAUUACUGGAUUCUGAUUUUAGACUGCUGUAAGGAAAACCGUUGCUUAUCCAGGAGUAUUUGUCAAGCAACAGGAAGGAAGCUGUAACGCCCACCUACUCUGGAAGAUGGAAGCCUAGGGUAGAAGUGCUGCACUGUGCUGCUUCUCCUCGGUUCCUCUGAGCCUUGAUUCCAUCACCAUCUGGCAUCCAGUGUUACUGGUAAACAGUCUGCUGUCUGUACAAGGGCUAUUUGUCCUGUUAAUAACUCAUGCUGCUCUCUGACACCUUUUAUUCUUGCUAUUUAUUCAGCAGUUUAACUGAUAUAGACACAAGGUGUGACUGUGGUUUUGUUCUGCUUGACAAAAUGGCUACCAAGACAAAUUCAUGUUUAAAUUUAAUUCUAGAAAAGUCUCAGCCACCAUUUCUUUCAAACAUUGCCUAU